rnacentral:rRNA from 1 species
UUAUUGGAGAGUUUGAUCCUGGCUCAGGAUGAACGCUGGCGGCGUGCCUAAUACAUGCAAGUCGAGCGAAUGGAUUAAGAGCUUGCUCUUAUGAAGUUAGCGGCGGACGGGUGAGUAACACGUGGGUAACCUGCCCAUAAGACUGGGAUAACUCCGGGAAACCGGGGCUAAUACCGGAUAACAUUUUGAACCGCAUGGUUCGAAAU